AACAAUUAUUGGAUGAGGCUGAGCAUGAUAUCAAGAAUUAUUCAGAGGUCUGAAUAAUUCUACCGAGAUCUGAAUAAUUCUUGAUAUCAUGCUCAGCCUCAUCCAGUAAAGCU